CCUACGGGAGGCAGCAGUGGGGAAUCUUGGGCAAUGGAGGCAACUCUUACCCAGCAAUGCCGCGUGACUGAAGAAGGUCUUCGGAUUGUAAAGUUCUUUAAUUGGUGACGACAAAAAUGACGGUACCCUAGGAAUCAGCCCCGGCUAACUACGUGCCAGCAGCCGCCGUACUACGUAGGGCGCAAGCGUUGUUCGGACUAACUGGUCGUAAAGGGUGUGUAGGCGGGGUAGCAAAUUAGUAGUGAAAUACCUAGAGCGUAACUCAGGUGCUGCUUCUGAAACUGCUAUACUUGAGUGCAGUAGAGGAAAGUGGAAUUCCUAGGGUAGCGGUGGAAUGCGUAGAUAUUAGGAGGAACAUCAGUGGCGAAGGCGACUUUCUGGACUGUAACUGACGCUGAGGCACGAAAGUGUGGGGAGCAAACAGGAUUAGAUACCCCUGUAGUC
rnacentral:rRNA from 1 species